ACAAAAAAAAAAGAACACAGUUUCCAUUAUUACACAAAUGGAUUCAUUUACUUCAUUUCUAUGUUUAUGUUCCAUAAUUUUUCAAUCUGUUAGCCUUAUAGAUGCUCAAGCAAGCCUUUGUAGAACUACUUGUGGUGAUAUCCCUAUAAAUUACCCUUUUGGUAUUGAUGAUGGUUGUGGUAGUCCUUAUUAUAGACACAUGCUAGUUUGUUCCGAUCUCGGAAACCUUUAUCUCCGUACACCUUCCGGUCGAUACCCUGUUCAUAGCAUUAGUUACUCCGAUCCUCAUAUUCUUGUUACCGAUCCGUUGAUGUGGAAUUGUAGAGACGGUGAUCAUUUUCGUCCUACGAGACCUUUUAGUCUCGAUACAAGUACGCCUUUCACAUUGUCCUCUCAGAAUGACUACUUGUUCUUCAAUUGUAGUGAAGAUUAUGUUAUCGUCGAGCCGAAGCCUAUCUUCUGUGAGCGAUUCCCUGACCGGUGUGAUUCGUCGUGCGAUAGUGCUAGUUAUCUUUGCAGGCAUUUACCCGAAUGUGCUGAUGCGCUUAGUGCUAGCUCGUGUUGCUCGUACUACCCGAAAGCAACUGAGUCGUUACGGCUGAUGCUUCGGUAUUGCGCGUCGUAUACAAGCGUGUAUUGGAAAACAGUCGGAUCCACAACGAAUUCGCCUUAUAGUCAAGUACCUGAAUAUGGAAUCCGAGUCGAUUUCGAUGUUCCGGUUACUACACAUUGUCUUCAGUGUCAAGAUCCAUCAAAGGGUAGUGGAACAUGCGGAUUUGAUACACAAACACAUAUUUUCCUUUGUUUAUGUAAAGAAGGAAAUGUCACAUCCUAUUGUAAAGGUCAUGACAUUUCAAGGCACAAAAGGGCAGGAGUCAUUGCAGGGACUGUAACUGGAAUUUCAGCAGCUGGAGCUAUAGGAAUUGGGAUUGGUAUAUGGGUGGUGAAAAAAGUGAGAGCUAAAGCACCUGUAACAUGUGGGGUUCAAAGCAAUGAGAAUAGGAUUUUCUGAAGAAAGUUAAACCAUUCUCGAUAUUGUUAUUUACUUUGCUCCAAAAAUUCCCGACCCCAAACAGGUCUCUUCACCACCACUUUGUUCCGGUCACCAAUUUGCUUCAAAAAUUGAGGUUGUCUACAACCGGGCCGGAGAAUGAUUUGGAGAGGACUGGCACUGCUGGUUGGUUCAGGAAUCAGGAGGAUUGUGGUCUUCCCUAUCGGACCUCAUCUUUUUCAUCGGCGGCUCCUUUUCUUCAGUGUCAUCUUUAGCAUUUUGAUUCCGAAUACCACAAACAACAUAACCACCGAUCUACAAUAUUUAAGAAGAAACAAUCAGUAAUGUCAACCCUAGAUGAACAAAAUAUAUUAUUUUCCAAAUCAAUCAAAAGGAUGAUACUUGUCUGUCGUGGUCGUCAACAAGCGUGAAAACUCAUGCAUGACCCAAUGUCCUUUUACGCCUUCGCUGGAACCCUUCACUUCGAAAACAAAGCUACUCGAUCGAUCCAUGUUUUUGUCUGUUAAUAAAUUUUUAAAGGAUUAAAUUAAAUUUUUAUAAUUUUAGGAGAUCCAAAGUACAAUUUUACCUUUAUUAAUUUUUAUAAUUUUUAUCAUGGAAUAAUAAUUCCUUUUUUGUGCGGAUAAGGUGAUGUAUUUAUGUAAUAAUAAUCCCUUUUUUUCAUUUAAUAUAUAUAUAAGAUUUUUCAUUUAAUAAUAAUUCUUUUUUUCCAGAUAACGUUAUGUAUUAAAAUGGUUUUCAAAAAUUUUAAAAUAAUUUUUAAAUUUCAAAAAUGUAUAAAAAUCCCUAUUAUGAGAAAAUUUAAUCAACUUUCGGGUUUCUACAACUUCAACGAAGUGUAGCUACCUAUUUUCUUCAGUCAUUCAGAUACUAAAUUUAUGGAGUUUGAUACUUAUGAUUAUGAGUUCUUGAUGACGGGAAUUCCUCCCGGUUAUCGAUUUGAACCAACUGACAUUGAGCUCCUUCAAGAUUACCUCUUGAAGAAAGUGAAUGGUGAACCGUUACCCUAUAAUAUUAUCUCCGAAUGCGAAAUCUAUGGCAACCAAGGUAAAGAGCCAUGGAAGAUUUUCAUUGAGACUUCAACCAAAACCUUUUAUGUUUUCACCAAGUUGAAGAAAAAGAGUAAAGGCAAAAAUAUUGAUCGAGUAGCUGGGUGUGGGACAUGGAAAGGUCAAAGAACCGAUCCUAUUAUGUAUGAGGAGAUGAAAAUCGGGAAUCGGAAACUUUUUGUUUUUCAAGUGAAGGGUUCCAACGAAGGCGUAAAAGGGCAUUGGAUCAUGCACGAGUUUUCGCUUGUUGACGAGGAAGACAAACAAAUCGGUGAUUAUGUUCUUUGUAGUAUUCGGAAUAAAAAUGCUAAAGAUGACACUGAAGAAGAGGAGCCUCCGAUGAAAAAGAUGAGGUACAAUUCGGAAGACCACAAUUCUCCUGAACCAACCAGCAGUGACAGUCCUCUCCAAACCCUUCUCUCGGACUGGUCGUAGACAACCUCAAUUUUUGAAGCAAAGUGGUGACCGGAACAAAGUGGUGGUGAAGAGACUUGUUUGGGCGGUACAGACAUGACGGUGGCUCGGGAAUUUUUGCAGCAAAUUGUAGGAAAAAAAACUGUUUUGUAUGUAAUUUUAUUUGCAGAAAACAUUAUGGAAUUCGUUUUA